rfam:Erinaceus europaeus unplaced genomic scaffold scaffold00410, whole genome shotgun sequence
AGGGAUGUAGCUCAAUGAGUAAAGUGCAGGCUUUAUAAACCUGAGGCCCCAGGUUUUAUUUCUGACAUUGCAA